rnacentral:snoRNA from 1 species
AUGGUGAAAACCCAAAUAAAGGAGAAAAAGAAAGAUGAAAAAGUUACUAUUCCACUUCCUGGGAAGAUAAAAACUGUUUUGGCCUUCCUAGUCGUUUUGGCAUUUGCCGCAUAUGGAUUUUACAUUAGACAUUUAACAGCCGGAAAGUAUUUCUCAGAUCCAGAUACCUUCUACCAUUUCGAAAUUUAUAAGCUAGUCCUCAAAGAGGGCCUUCCUAGGUAUUACCCAAUGGCAGAUGCUCCAUUUGGAAGUCUCAUAGGAGAACCUCUUGGACUAUACAUCCUUCCAGCAAUAUUCUACAAAAUAAUCUCAAUAUUUGGGUACAAUGAGCUAGAGGCAUUUCUUCUUUGGCCCCCAUUCGUAGGAUUUCUCAGUGUUAUAGGUGUUUACUUACUCGGAAGAAAAGUUCUGAACGAAUGGGCAGGGAUGUGGGGUGCUAUAAUUCUCUCAGUCCUCACGGCAAACUUUUCAAGAACAUUCUCAGGCAACGCAAGAGGCGACGGCCCAUUCAUGAUGUUGUUUACGUUUUCAGCAGUCCUAAUGCUCUAUUAUCUAACCGAGGAAAAUAAAAACAAGAAAAUAAUCUGGGGAACACUGUUUGUACUCUUGGCAGGAAUAUCAACUGCAGCAUGGAACGGUUCACCAUUUGGACUAAUGGUUCUCCUUGGAUUCGCAUCGUUCCAGACAAUAAUCCUCUUUAUUUUUGGAAAGAUCAAUGAGCUUAGAGAAUUCAUAAAGGAAUACUACCCAGCAUACCUGGGAAUUUUAGCUAUAAGCUACCUUCUAACGAUCCCAGGAAUUGGAAAAAUAGGAGGAUUUGUAAGAUUUGCAUUUGAGGUUUUCUUAGGGUUAGUUUUCUUAGCCAUCGUCAUGCUCUAUGGAGGAAAAUACUUGAACUAUUCUGACAAGAAGCACAGGUUCGCAGUGGUUGCAGUUAUAGUUAUUGCGGGGUUCGCAGGAGCUUAUAUUUACGUUGGUCCAAAACUCUUCACUCUAAUGGGUGGAGCUUAUCAGUCAACGCAAGUUUAUGAAACAGUACAGGAGCUCGCAAAAACUGAUUGGGGAGAUGUAAAAGUCUAUUAUGGAGUAGAAAAGCCAAACGGAAUAGUCUUCUUCCUUGGAUUAGUUGGAGCAAUGAUUGUUACAGCUAGGUACCUCUACAAAUUAUUUAAAGAUGGAAGGCGCCCACACGAAGAGUUAUUUGCAAUAACUUUCUAUGUAAUGUCAAUUUACCUCCUCUGGACAGCUGCUAGAUUCCUAUUCCUAGCGAGUUAUGCGAUAGCAUUGAUGUCAGGUGUCUUUGCAGGAUACGUCCUAGAGACUGUAGAAAAGAUGAAAGAGAGUAUACCAAUAAAAGCAGCACUAGGAGGAGUAAUUGCUAUUAUGCUUCUUCUAAUACCCUUAACUCAUGGCCCACUCUUAGCUCAAAGCGCUAAAAGUAUGAGAACAACCGAGAUCGAGACUAGUGGAUGGGAAGAUGCGCUCAAAUGGCUCAGAGAAAACACUCCAGAAUAUUCGACCGCAACCUCUUGGUGGGACUAUGGAUAUUGGAUAGAGUCAAGCCUCCUAGGACAGAGAAGGGCCAGUGCUGAUGGUGGACAUGCAAGAGAUAGAGAUCAUAUCUUAGCCCUAUUUCUAGCCAGAGACGGUAACAUUAGUGAAGUAGACUUUGAGAGUUGGGAGCUUAACUACUUCCUAGUUUACCUUAAUGAUUGGGCAAAGUUCAAUGCAAUCAGCUAUCUAGGCGGGGCUAUAACGAGGAGAGAAUACAAUGGAGAUGAAAGUGGAAGAGGAGCCGUAACUACGCUACUUCCUCUCCCAAGGUAUGGAGAGAAAUACGUCAACCUCUAUGCCAAAGUUAUAGUUGAUGUUUCAAACUCGAGCGUAAAGGUUACUGUAGGAGACAGAGAGUGUGAUCCACUAAUGGUUACGUUUACUCCAAGUGGAAAGACGAUAAAAGGAACUGGAACCUGUAGUGAUGGCAACGCCUUCCCAUAUGUUUUACACUUAACUCCAACAAUUGGAGUACUUGCAUACUACAAAGUAGCAACUGCAAACUUCAUUAAGUUAGCCUUCGGUGUUCCAGCUUCAACAAUUCCAGGAUUCUCUGAUAAGCUAUUCUCAAACUUUGAGCCAGUGUAUGAGUCAGGAAACGUAAUAGUAUAUCGCUUCACACCAUUUGGAAUAUACAAAAUUGAGGAAAACAUUAACGGAACUUGGAAGCAAGUUUAUAACCUAACUCCUGGAAAACACGAGCUCAAACUGUACAUUUCAGCAUUCGGAAGAGACAUCGAAAAUGCAACGCUGUACAUUUACGCCAUAAACAACGAGAAGAUCAUAGAGAAAAUUAAGAUUGCCGAGAUAUCCCACAUGGACUAUCUAAAUGAAUACCCGAUAGCAGUGAACGUAACCCUACCAAAUGCUACAAGCUACAGGUUUGUACUAGUUCAAAAAGGCCCAAUAGGUGUUCUUCUAGAUGCACCAAAAGUCAAUGGUGAGAUAAGAAGUCCAACCAACAUACUAAGGGAAGGAGAAAGUGGAGAAAUAGAGCUUAAAGUUGGGGUUGAUAAAGACUACACUGCCGAUCUAUACUUAAGGGCUACGUUCAUAUAUUUAGUCAGAAAAAGUGGAAAGGAUAACGAAGAUUAUGACGCAGCGUUUGAGCCCCAAAUGGAUGUUUUCUUUAUCACAAAGAUCGGAGAAAACAUUCAACUUAAAGAAGGAGAGAAUACAGUAAAGGUUAGGGCGGAGCUUCCAGAAGGAGUUAUAUCUAGCUACAAAGAUGAACUACAGAGAAAAUACGGAGACAAGUUGAUAAUCAGAGGAAUAAGAGUAGAGCCAGUGUUCAUAGCAGAAAAAGAGUACCUAAUGCUCGAG